UCGGUUGAGCAUAAUCUUCCAAAGCUCGGUUGUCAUCGUUAUUGCCAGCCAUCUCUUCUUCUUUGUCAAAAUUAGAGUUAUCGAAAGAAUCUACACUCGUUGGGCUAGAAGAACUAUUGUCCUCUUCUACACUGCUAGUCUGGGCACUAGUUGAUACAGAAUUCUCAAAAGUGUUGCUCUUUAACCGUUCAAGUGUUUGGC
rnacentral:lncRNA from 1 species